rnacentral:rRNA from 1 species
CGAGGAGAGUUCCUUCGGGAACAAACCUAGCGGCGGACGGGUGAGUAACACGUGGGCACCUGCCUUGUAGAGGGGAAUAGCCUUCCGAAAGGAAGAUUAAUACCGCAUAAUAUUGCAGCUUCGCAUGGAGCAGUAAUUAAAGGAGCAAUC